GAGAGAGACAGCACAAGUGGGGGAGGGGCAGAGAGAAGGGGAGACACGGAAUCUGAAGCAGGCUCCAGGCUCUGAGCUGGCCACAAAAUAGAGCCCAAUGUGGGGCUCAAACUCAGGGACUGCAAGAUCAUGACCUAAGCUGAAGUCGGUCCCCCAACCUGCGGAGCCACCCAGGGACCCCAGGCAUUUGACUGUUGUUGACACAAGUGUGCUCCUGCCUCAGGAUGUUUGCACUUGUUGCCUCUGCCUAUAAAGUCUUUCCUAAGGAAUCUGCGACCCAGGUUUUUCAGCUUUCUCACCUCUUCAGGUGUCUUCUCAAAUGUUCCCCUAGGAAUAAGUCAUUCCCAGACCACGCUAUAUGUAAUAGUUAUCACGCCUCCCCCAUACUCCCUGUUCCCCUACACUGCCCUUGUCCUUACCACCAGCCCCGACUAGCUAUAUAUCUACUUAAAACUUUGGGUGGGGAGGGGGUUAUUAUCCGUCUCUCCCACUGGAAUGUAAGAAGUCCAUGAAGAAGGGACUUUGUUUUAACAGCGUUCUCUAGCACUCGAUUAGUAAGCAACUUGGCACACAGGAGAUACUCAAUAAAUACUGUUGAGUGAUUAAAUUCUUUAAUUAAUGGCUUCUUUGUACUUGUUUAACACAUUUUAAUAUUAUUUAAGACCCUUCAUGAUUUUACUUCAAUUUAUUUUUGAAACCAUAUUUCCUGCCCUUCGCCCACACUGUUCAAAUUUAAUCUGGUCUUUUACUUACACUAGAAUAGUGUGCUUGAUAAUGAUAGAAUACGGAUGAAAUAGGGAGUGAGGGAUUCCAUCAUUCUUCUGAACUGGUAGGUCAUGACAUUCUGCUCUACCAGUAAAUAGGCUGGCCAAUUUCGAUCAACGUGUAAAAUUUAUCUUACUACAGCUGAGUACGGCCAACAGACAAUGUUUAUCACACAGAACUUGAUCUGAGUUGUUUGUGGAACAUGGUACAGAUUAGAUAUAAUUUACUACAAAUAAGAUGGAUUCAUAUAAAUCAAACCCUCACCGAAGAAAAAUAUGCAGGCAAGAGAUGACUUAACUUUUGGAUUAUGUCUUUGAGUGCUACAAGGGCAUGAACUGUUUUCUUCAAACACAAUCUGAGUGCCUAAGGGUGAAUGAUUAUGUUGAAUCACAGCGGUGCAAUCAGCCGUGCAAUCUUUGUAGGCAAUAUGAGGUUUAGUUAUAUGCAAGUAGAAUUAUGUUGCCUUUAUUGUCAUUCAGUGGUUUCUUGAGUCUUAAUCUCAACUGCUUUCCCCAAAUCUGGUGUUUGUGCUAUAAUUUAAAAAAGGAUGGGGUGGGCUGGGUGGCUCAGUUGGUUGAGAGCCCAACUCUAAGUUUUGCUCAGGUCACGACUCAAGGGACGUGAGAUCAAGCCCUGCCUGUUGGGCUCGGCCCUGGGGGUGGAGCCUGAGGGUGGAGCCGCUUAACAUUCUCUUUCCCUCUCCCUCUGUCCCCUGCCCACCCCGAUUGUGCAUAUGUGCACUCUCUCAGAGUAAAAUAAUAAAAAUACAAGUUUGGGAACCAUGUGUUUACUACCUAGAUUUUAAUGCUGCCUGUGCAACCUCGGUUAUUAUUCAAUUCCUGCGGCUUAUUAAUCAAUGAUUAUUAGUGCUUGUUGUAUUUUAAAUUGACUUUUAAGUUUAUGAGAAUAAUGAUGGCUUUUUCCUGGGUUUCAUGUACUCACUGUUUUCCUUUUCUGGUGUUGUCCUCUUAGAAUUCACUGCCCUUUAGUAGGUCAUGUGUGAUGUGGAUUAGUAGGAAGAAAUGAUGAAGCUGGUAAACUGGUUUAAAGAGCUGCGUGACACAUGUUUUGAAAUAUUGUGAAAGGCAGGGUGGUAUGACUUGUCACUGGUCCCACAGCAACUGGAAAAUAACUCGAGUCUUAUGACAUCUGGUCUGUCAGACCAGUCACCAGAUCAUAUGUGAACAUUUCCUUGGGAUCAAGUCCGUGGGCUCCUCCCAUUCGUCCUUCUUCUUCUCUGCACACUUUGAAAAUGCCUGAGAAGAGAACAAUGAUACUUCUGGAAGAGUGCUUGCUAUGGUGCUGAUGUCACAUGGUAUGGUGAACAAGAUAGAGCAGGGUCAGGGGCCUUUCCUUUUUCAUGGAACUAACAUCGUAGUGUGAGAAGAUAGAAUCGUGGACAGACAAUUGUAACAGAUGGCACAGAACGAUAAAUGCAGCAAGAAAAUAAUAUUAAAACAGUAGUGUGAUAAGCAGUGAGUAGGGUUGAAGCUACUUUAUAUGGGAUGGUCAGGGAAGGCCUCUCAGGAAGGGAAUGUUUGAACCGAGACUUGAAUAAUGAGCAGAAAGUAAGCAAGUAAACACCUGGAAACAGAGUAUUUUUAUUUCCUCUCUAGGCAGAGAGGUUAGCGACUACAAUAGCCCUAAGGGGGGGACAAACCAAGUGACAGAGUGACAGAAGCUUGUUGAAAGUGAAGCCAUGAAGGGCACAAUAUAGUCUAAUACUUGGGUAGGAAACAGAGCAUGUGGGAUCUGGGGUUUAUCUGAGGGUCGGAAGAAACCAUUGGAGGGUCUCGAGUAGGAAAGGGCAGAAGACAAAAAGAUAAAACAAUAAACUUAGUUUCACUUUCAGUAAUAGAAAACUUGAUAUUUAGAAAAACCCUCUUACUAAAAACAAUGGAAAAUACUGGAAAAAAUAUUUUUAAAAAUGUCUUUAAUGUGACAAAGAGCUAAUAAAAUAGUGAGGAAUUAUUUGUCAUGGAUCUGGGAAACGAGAUUACAAGCCCAACUGACAGGGCUGGUUUUACCAUGGAGCAUUUAUUUCUGGUUCCAGAAGUGGCUGAGAGGCUGAACUGUGUUUUUGGCAACAAAUGAAACAAUUGGCUUUUGUCUGAUGGUAGAUGAGCUGGCUUCAUCUUCUCCCGAAUUAGAAAAAGUGUUCCUAAUAGUUGAAAAUUUGGGGAUGAGGAUGUUCAUCAGAGUGCUAUGUACUCUAGCAGAGAAUUGGAAGGCAUGUAACUUCUAGAAAGUGGGGGAUUGCUUAAAUAAUAAUGGUAUGAACAUAUGAUAAAAUACUAACAGGCAUAAACAAUAAAAGACUACUAAGAUCUUGGGGAAAGCUUCAUAAUGCACUGGAAAGUGAAAAGAAAAUUUGACUGUAUUAUGUACAUGUUGUCCCAUUGUGUAACAAUAUGUGCAUAUAUGUAGAAAAACAUAAAAAAUGGUAACAGUGGUUAUCUCUUGCUAUUGGGUGAUGUUUAACUUCUUAUUUACUUGCUUCUCUAAGAAAAAUUUAAAAACAUUUUAAUAUAAAUAGCUAUAUUUAUAUUUUUAAUGAUAAAUGAAUAAUAUAUUAGAAAAUACUACAGAAAAAAAUACCACAGAAAAGUACAAAGAAGAAAAUAAAAGAGCCCUGGAAGUCUCACUUCCAUAGAAUAUCAAUAUUAAUAUUUACUUAUGAAUAUUCAGAUAAUUCUUUACGCAUCUAUGUGCAUAUAGAUCCAAAACAUUUCAUACAUGGGAUCAUACAAACCAAUAUUCUAGUCUUGCUUUUUAACUCAAAUAUUUACUUUUUAAUUGAAGUAUAAUUGAAUAUAAUAUAAUUGAAUAUAACAUUCGCAUUAGUUCUUUAACUUAAGUAUUUACUUUUUAAUUGAAUAUAAUACAAUUGAAUAUAAUGUAACAUUAUAUUAGUUUCAGGUAUACAACAUAAUGAUUUGCUAUUUGUAUACAUCACAAAGUGAUCAUUACAAUAAGUCUAGUUACCAUCUGUCCUCAUACAAAGUUACCAGAAAAAUUAAGUUUUUUUCCCUUAUGAUGAGAACUUUCAAGAUCUAUUUUCUUAACAAGUUUUAAAUAUAUAAUACAAUGUUAUUGACUAUAGUCAUCAUGCUGUACCUUUCAUUCCCAUGACUUAUUAAUGACUGGAAGUUUGUACCUUUGGAUCCCUUUCACCUAUUUCAGCCACAGCCCAACAUCCCUCCCCACUAGCGACCACCAUUCUAUUUUCUAUAGCUUUGAGUUUUGUUUGUUCAUGUGUUAUUAGAUUCCACGUUUAAGUGAAAUCAUAUGGUGUUUGCCUUUAUCUGACUUAUUUCACUUACUAUAUUACCCACUGGGUCCAUCCAUGUUGUUGCAAAUGGCAAGAUUUCAUUCUUUUUAUGGCAGAAUAGUAUUCCACUUUACAUGUAUAUCACAUCUUCUUUAUUCGUUCAUCCAUUGAUAAACACUUAGGUGGUUUCCAUAUCUUGGCUAUUGUAAAUAAUGUUUCAGUGAAUGUGGGGAUGCGUAUAUCUUCAAAUUAAUGUUUUCGUUUUCUUCAGAGAAAUACCAAGAAGUGGAAUUGCUGGAUCAUAUGGUAGUUCUAUUUUCCCUUUUUGAGGAAUAUUCUCCAUGGUGGUUGUACCAAUCUACACUUCUACCAGUAGGGCUCAAGUGUUCUCUAUAACCACAGCCAUGUCAGCAUUUGUUAUUUCUUAUAUUUUUGAUAAUAGCUAUUCUGACAAGUGUGACAUUAUAUUUCAUCGUGAUUUAAAUUUGCAUCUCCCUGAUGAUUAGUGAUGUUGAGCAUCUUUUCCUGUGCCUAUUUGGCCAUGUGCAUGUCUUCCUUGGAAAAAUGUAUAUUCAGAUCCUCUGUCCAUUUGUAAUUGGAUUAUCUAUUUUUUUUUGUUUUGUUUUUGAGUUGAAUAAAUUCUUUAUAUAUUUUGGCUAUUAACCACCUCUCAGAUAUAUGCCUUGCAAAUAUAUUCUCCCACUCAGUAGGUUGCAUUUUCAUCUGUUGAUUGUUUCCUUCCCUGUUCAGAAGCUUUUUAGUUUGAUGUAGUCCCACUUAUAUAUUGUUACUUUUGUCCCCACUACCUUUGGAGUCAGAGCUGAAAAAAUACCAUGAAGAGCAAUCUCAAGGAGUAGACCCUCUAUGAUUUCUUCUAGGACUUUUAUGGUUUCCAGUCUUCUAUGCAGGUGUAAUCCAUUUUGAGUUGAUUUUUUGUAUGGUAUAAGAUUAAUGGUCCAGUUUCAUUCUUUUGCAUGUGGCCCUCCAGUUUUCCCAACACCAUUUAUUGAAAACAUUGUACUUUCCCCAUUGUAUAUAUAUAUUCUUGCAUCCUUUGUUGUAAAUCAACUGAUCAUAUACGCAUGGGUUUAUUUGUGGACUCUAUUAUUCUAAUGAUCUAUGUGUCUGUUUUUAUGCGAAUACCAUACUGUUUUGAUUACUAUUAUUUUAUAAUAUAGUUUGAAAUUUGGGAGUGUGAGCUCUCCAGCCUUGUUAUUCUUUCUCAAGAUUGUUUUGGCUAUUCAGGAUCUUUUGUGGUUCCACACAAAUUUUAGAAUUGUUUGUUCUAUUUCUGUGGAAAAAUACCAUUGGAAUUUUGAUAGGGAUUGCAAUGAAUCUACAGAUUUCGUUUGGUAAGAUGGACAUUUUAACAAUAUUAAUUCUUCCAAUCCAUGAGCACAAAAUAGCUUUCCAUUUAUUAGUGUCUUCUUCAAUUUAUUUCAUCAAUGUCUCAGAGUUUUCAGCGUACAGAUCUUUUACCUCCUUGCUUAAAUUUAUUUCUAGAUAUUUUAGUCUUUUUGAUGCACUUAUAAAUGGGAUUAUUCUCUUAAAUUCUCUUUCUGAUAGUUCAUUGUUAGUAUAUAAAAAUGCAGGAAUGGUGUGGAGGGUGGAGUGCUCACCUGCUGACACUUACAGGCUAGAGUAAGGAUAAAAAAAACGACGUCCACGCACACCUGCAAUCAGCAAGGCAGAGGGAGAGUGUAAAGAUGGCUCCCGCCUGUGCCUCCGACCCGGAGAAAGUUCCAACAAGCUUCUGCACCUCCAGCUAAUGACUUAAGAUCCAGGGCCUGCCUGCCCGUAUUCCCUUCCAGGCUGCCAAAUGCCAAGACCUGCUCCAGACGAAGGCUGCUUUGGCCAACCAAGACUCAUCUGCCCCCAGGGGGUCACAUGGCCAAGCCAGAGGAGACAGCAAGAAGCCAAAUCAACUCUGCGCCAGGUGGAUUCCCCAUUUAAGAGCCAUUGAUGCUUUGCGGUAAAGACCAGAGCGUGGAGAGAGGUGCUGGUGCCGCCCUUUCAGGAGCUACUCCUACUGCGAGCACCCGCCUUGACCUCCUGCCCUCCUGCCUCAGAUAAAGACAAGUAUUUCAUACUUUCUAAGGUGAGUACUUCCUUCCAUAUUAUGAUUCCUACCCUCUCUCAAGCUUCUCUGAAAAACUUUCAUCAACGGAUUCUUCUUCUCUCAGAUUUCCAUGCUGGUGUACUUUCACACUCAAUUUCUACCUCCCUUGCACAACUUUCAAAAUGUUAUCUUCUCCCUUUCUCUUCACCGCUAAAGGGCAGUCUAUACUUUGCUUCUCCUGUUCUUCUAGUAAGAAAAAUUACAAUUUGGCUUCUGCCCUAAUCAUGCACUCUCCUCAAACUUCUUGCAAAGAAAUUACCCAUGAACUCCUAUUGACCAAAUGCCUUCCCUGAAGAACUGCAGCCUGCUGACAAUUAUCCACACUUCUUCAUUACUUAAUCCAGCACCUCCAGGUUUCUGGCAGUACUCUUAGUCCUACUUCACCCACUAAUCUAUCUUGGGGUCAGUUUUUUUAAGGACCUUGUUCUGUGUCCAACCCUUAAAAGUCAUGUGGCUCAGGAUUUGCUCAUUCUUCCAUUUCUUCCAUUUCCCUUGUAGCUCUCUAUAUUCUUCUAAGUUCGUUCUUUCCAGUCUAUAAAUUCAACUACCACUUUUAACUUUGGCCUAUGCCACUUAUAACCCCAUUAUCAGAGGUAGGAAGCCAGGUUUGAGUUAGUCUUGCAGCAGCCUCAGCCCGAGGUCAAAAAUCACUCAUUACCUGAUCACACCUCAUUCCUUCCCCAUGUGUCUCCCUCUGCAAAUUUUACCUUGAAAGUACUUCUUGAUUUUGGCAUUUCCUCAGCCAUCCUCACUGCCCCAUCUUAGUUCAGAAUCACCCUUUGCACCCCUCUGGUAUGAUCUCUAAAUUGGUGGAAUUAUCUGUCACUCUGUACUUUAAAACCUCUACUGGUUUCCUACUGCCUUAAAACAAAACCCAAAUGUUCUGGCACAGACAGGCCACAGUGCCUCACAACAAACUCACAACUAACUCACCUCAUCAAUUCUGCUCCUGCCACUUUCAGAGUUUCACUCACGAUGAGCAUCUUGUUCCCCACACACAUCAUGCUCUUCUCCAAGCUGUUCCGAUUCAAAUGCUUUCCUCCUUUUCUUAUCUGGCAAACUCCUAAGUUGCUAAGACCAAACUCACAUGACUGACUUCUAAGACCCCUUCUGUUACGAAGGCCUCCCCCCAAACCGCUCUAGGCAUAACUGGAUAUACGCUCUUCAUGUUCUCACAGCCUUUUUUCAUAGUCCCAGCACAUAUUUAUCUGUUUACACAUCUAACUUUUGCACGAAAUGUGAGCUAGUUCAGUGGCAGGGACAGCACACAGCCCAGGGCUGGUUAUAUGCUCAAGGCUCCUUUAACUUCUUUUGGAUGUUCUCACUAAUUAACACACCUUGUGCCUAAGAUGCGUUUUUGUUUUCACAGAUUUCUUGACUCUCUUGUAUACAUGCUGGUCAAAUUUAUCACCUGCUCCUUGAAGAAGAUGUUAGUACACAUCACUGUUUGACCAAAUAGCCAAACAAGGAAACGUAAUAGCUACAGAUUAUAUUCUACUGGGUUUUAGAUGUAGCAAGUAAUUGAGUUCCUGAACACACUCGGCAUUUUCCAACCAUGCUUUGGCCACUGCCGCUUUCUGGUCUUUCAAAGUCUCCCUUCACUGACGCCUAGUAAGGCAUUCCUAGCUCCAAUCCUACCACUUCUGUUAAGCAUUUAGAUCACAACACCUCUCACAUCUGACUCUAUCACAAUAGAUCAUGGUGAUUAAAUACUGAAUUGCAUUUCAGUUACUUGCGAGGUUUUUUUCAAUUCUUGCUUCUCAGAAAACAUUAAAUUUUUAUUCUUACUGGAAAAGGUAUCAUGCCAACUUUAAGAGUUCUGUAGUGUAUUUUGAAAUAAUGCAGCUAUGUAAAUUGAAUGUAGAGACAAACCUAAAUUUAUUACAAAGACAUAUUUACUCUUUCUCAGAAAAUGAGAGCAAGGCAUUUUACCAAUCAUACAUUUAAACAGCAUACCUUUUUAUUUACAGUAAAGCCAAUUGAAACAGCUACAAAAGGAAACCUUAAAAAAAAAACACACACACACAUAUACAUAUUUAUCAAGAUAAGUAUUACUUUCAAUAAACAUGUUCUUUCAUAACAUAAUUGACUACAUACUUUUUCAUAUAGUCUCAUCCCUCCUCCCCCAAAAGAGUGUGAGUAGUAUGUCAUCUUUGUGUAAAUAGUGAGGGGAGAGGUGUAUACAUACACACACAUACAUACAUACAGGAUGCUUCUAUAGGCAUGAAACAUCUCUGAAAGAAUUCCCAAGAAUGUGGCAACAGUGGCCACCUCCAGAAACUGGUCCUGAGAAACUGGGGUCAGAAGUGGGAAGGACACCUUGCACUGCCUGCCAUUUUAGAUCUCUGGAAUGUCAUAUGUCAUGAACAUAGUAACUAUAUAAAAUAAUUUUUCCAAAAAUAAAAACAAAUUCAAAAAAAUUUUAAUUGACCACGGUUAAAAAAAGUCUUUUUUGGUCAUUUCUCCCACAGGGGACCUAUAAACAUAGGUAUUAAAUUGUACAGAAUAAACUGUUUCUUGUCUUUAACACCAAAUCUGGAGCUUCACAUCUGAAAAGUAAACUGUUAACCACAGUUAUUGCUGUGGCUGCAUGAGGGUUUUGAACACAUAGGUUGUAAUUUCUACUCCAGAAUCAAGACAAAGAAAAUAUGAAAAAGUG